rnacentral:rRNA from 1 species
CCUACGGGAGGCAGCAGUGGGGAAUAUUGCACAAUGGGGGAAACCCUGAUGCAGCGACGCCGCGUGUGUGAAGAAGUAAUUCGUUAUGUAAAGCUCUAUCAGCAGGGAAGAAAAUGACGGUACCUGACUAAGAAGCCCCGGCUCACUACGUUCCAGCAGCCGCGGUAAUACGUAGGGGGCAAGCGUUUUCCGGAUUUACUGGGUGUAAAGGGAGCGUAGACGGGUGUGCAAGUCUGAAGUGAAAGCGCGCGGCUCAACUGCGGAACGGCUUUGGAAACUGGGUAACUGGAGUGUGUGAGAGGAUAGUGGAAUUCCAGGUGUAGGAGUGAAAUCCGUAGAUAUCUGGAGGAACAUCAGUGGCGAAGGCGACUAUCUGGCACAUAACUGACGCUGAGGAGCGAAAGCGUGGGUAGCAAACAGGAUUAGAUACCCCUGUAGUC